CAUUCUUGAAGCCACAACUACCUCCAAGAACUUUCAGUUCUGUGAUACAACAAGUUCCAUUAAUGCUUAAGCUAAUAAUGUAGGUUGGGUUUUCUGUUACUUUCAACUGCAAGAGGCUUACCUGUUACAACAGACUCUCUCAAUUCAAUUUCACCCAAGUUAAGAAUCAAUUAGGACUCAACAACAAAAAGACAAAUGACCCAAUUUAAAAUGAGCAAAUGUUAUGAAUAGACAUUUCCCCAAAGAAGGUGUACAAGUAGCCAAUAAACUCUUGAAAAGAUGUUCAACGUCAUUAAUCAUUAAGAAAAUGCAAAUCAAAACCACAAUGAGAUAUAACUUUACACCCCCUAGG
rnacentral:lncRNA from 1 species